AAGACGGCACAUUUUGUGAGCCACGCGGCACGGCGUUGGGGUGUGUGUUUACGGACGAGUCCAGGGGGACGGUUGCAUCCGCCGGUUGCCGACCAGGAACACGGAGGACUGGAAGGUCUAAACCAAGGGGUGGCGUUGUCGGGUUUGUAUCGUGAUAUAGAGGUGCGACCGCCACAUUUUGGCGUUGUCGGCAGGAUCGACCGUUCCUAGUUCAUUGUUACUGUCAGUUUGUUUGAAUGGUAAGGUCUAUUGGACAGUUGGAGCAGUUUUAGCGUUUGUGUUUUUUUUUAUUAUUAUUUUUUUUCUGAGGAGAGAACAGCAGCUGGCAUUCUAGAGAGGAUACCUCACCCGGAAAGGCUACCGAUGGAGGAGGAGCUGCAGAGGCUACGGGAGCGAGUAGGACGUCUUCAAAGCGAAAACGAAAGACUGUCUGCGAGUAGCUCUAGAGAUUAAUCCAUAGUCAUGUAUCCCGACUCCACACUGAGACGGCAGAGAGCAGUAAAUCGCAGAAGAGAACUAA